GUCGGGAUAGCUCAGUUGGUAGAGCAGAGGACUGAAAAUCCUCGUGUCACCAGAUUUGAACUGGUGACACGAG
rnacentral:tRNA from 2 species